GAUGAACGCUGGCGGCGUGCCUAAUACAUGCAAGUCGAGCGAACAGAUAAGGAGCUUGCUCCUUUGACGUUAGCGGCGGACGGGUGAGUAACACGUGGGUAACCUACCUAUAAGACUGGAAUAACUCCGGGAAACCGGGGCUAAUGCCGGAUAACAUGUUGAACCGCAUGGUUCUACAGUGAAAGGCGGCUUUGCUAUCACUUAUAGAUGGACCCGCGCCGUAUUAGCUAGUUGGUGAGGUAACGGCUCACCAAGGCAACGAUACGUAGCCGACCUGAGAGGGUGAUCGGCCACACUGGAACUGAGACACGGUCCAGACUCCUACGGGAGGCAGCAGUAGGGAAUCUUCCGCAAUGGGCGAAAGCCUGACGGAGCAACGCCGCGUGAGUGAUGAAGGUCUUCGGAUCGUAAAACUCUGUUAUUAGGGAAGAACAAAUGCGUAAGUAACUGUGCGCGUCUUGACGGUACCUAAUCAGAAAGCCACGGCUAACUACGUG
rnacentral:rRNA from 1 species